UACGAAGGGUGCAAGCGUUAAUCGGAAUUAUUGGGCGUAAAGGGCGCGUAGGCGGUUUGACAAGUCUGAUGUGAAAUCUCUGGGCUCAACUCAGAGUCUGCAUUAGAAACUGUCGGGCUUGAGUAUGGGAGAGGUGAGUGGAAUUUCCGGUGUAGCGGUGAAAUGCGUAGAUAUCGGAAGGAACACCUGUGGCGAAAGCGGCUCACUGGACCAUAACUGACGCUGAGGCGCGAAAGCUAGGGGAGCAAACAGG
rnacentral:rRNA from 1 species